rnacentral:rRNA from 1 species
UGGGGAAUCUUGGACAAUGGGGGCAACCCUGAUCCAGCCAUGCCGCGUGAGUGAUGAAGGCCUUAGGGUCGUAAAGCUCUUUCGCCUGUGAAGAUAAUGACGGUAGCAGGUAAAGAAACCCCGGCUAACUCCGUGCCAGCAGCCGCGGUAAUACGGAGGGGGUUAGCGUUGUUCGGAAUUACUGGGCGUAAAGCGCACGUAGGCGGACCAGAAAGUUGGGGGUGAAAUCCCGGGGGCUCAACCCCGGAACUGCCUCCAAAACUAUUGGUCUAGAGUUCGAGAGAGGUGAGUGGAAUUCCAAGUGUAGAGGUGAAAUUCGUAGAUAUUUGGAGGAACACCAGUGGCGAAGGCGGCUCACUGGCUCGAUACUGACGCUGAGGUGCGAAAAGUGUGGGGAGCAAACAGGAUUAGAUACCCUGGGUAGUCCACACCGUAAAACGAUGAAUGCCAGUCGUCGGGUAGCAUGCUAUUCGGUGACACACCUAACGGAUUAAGCAUUCCGCCU